rnacentral:lncRNA from 1 species
CUGUUUUUUUAAUGGCUUCCAAAAGAGAGUUGAUCGUGUUACCACUGUAGUAUUCCAGGAAACGAAACAUACAAUCUCUCAAAUAGUAUAGGAGGUUUGUAGUAGAUCUAAGAUCAGGAUGAUGAUACAUAGUACUAGAAGUAUUAUAUAAUUAUGAUAUUUCAAUUUAAUGUAUCCAAAUAAGAUUGGUUAAUUUAAAGUGGACUUGAAAAAAAUAAUAAAGUUUGAGUUGGGUAGUAAA